GGGUUUGUGGCUCAGUGGUAGAGCGCUUGCCUAGCAUGUGUGAGGCACUGGGUUCAAUUCUCAGCACCA
rnacentral:tRNA from 1 species